rnacentral:rRNA from 1 species
AUAUCAUUAAGCGGAGGAAAAGAAAAUAACAAUGAUUCCCCUAGUAACGGCGAGUGAAGCGGGAAGAGCUCAAGCUGAAAAUCCGGAAGCCUUGCGGUUUCCCGAAUUGUAGUCUAGAGACGUGCUGUCAGUGUGUGACCUGGGUAUAAGUCUUUUGGAACAAGGCAUCAUAGAGGGUGAGAAUCCCGUCUUUGACCCAGAGUACGCCACGUACGACACGCGUUCAGAGAGUCGAGUUGGUCGGGACUCCAGCUCUAAAUGGGUGGUAAGAUUCAUCUAAAGCUAAAUAUUGGCGGGAGACCGAUAGCGAACAAGUACCGUGAGGGAAAGAUGAAAAGAACUUUGAAAAGAGAGUUAAAAAGUACUUGAAAUUGUUAAGAGGAAAGCGAUGGAAACCAGUCGUGCCUGGUGUAACUAAAAUUUUCGCCGGCGAAGGGUGUUGUCGCUCGUGUGGUUAAACCACGGCGGUGGCUCCGGACGUUGUGCGGGGGUCGACGUUGCGCUAGGUGGGUCAGCAUCAAUUUGGCCGCUUGGGAGAAAGUUGGGGGGGAAGCUAGGUUCGGCUUCGGCUGUCCCCGUAUAGACCCCCGAUCAUACCUUGCGCUGGAUUGAGGAUUUGACAACGCGCGCCUUCUGGCUUGGAUCCCGCUCCCUGCGG